rnacentral:tRNA from 1 species
GCUGGGAUGGCCGAGUCGUUAAGGCGAGUGAUUUGAAUUGUUCCUCACUAUCACUUGGAAUUUUUCCGCGUAGGUUCAAAUCCUGCUCCCAGCG